rnacentral:rRNA from 1 species
UACGUAGGGGGCAAGCGUUGUCCGGAAUUAUUGGGCGUAAAGAGCUCGUAGGCGGUCUGUCGCGUCGGCUGUGAAAACCUGGGGCUUAACUCCGGGCCUGCAGCCGAUACGGGCAGACUAGAGUUCGGCAGGGGAGACUGGAAUUCCUGGUGUAGCGGUGAAAUGCGCAGAUAUCAGGAGGAACACCGGUGGCGAAGGCGGGUCUCUGGGCCGAUACUGACGCUGAGGAGCGAAAGCGUGGGGAGCAAACAGG